AACAGCCGCGGUAAUUCCAGCUCCAAUAGCGUAUAUUAAAGUUGUUGCAGUUAAAAAGCUCGUAGUUGAAUUUCGGGGUUAGUAGGUUGGUCAUGCCUCUGGUAUGUACUGGUCUCACUGAUUCCUCCUUCCUGAUGAGCCGUAAUGCCAUUAAUUUGGUGUUGCGGGGAAUUUGGACUGUUACUUUGAAAAAAUUAGAGUGUUUAAAGCAAGCUAACGCUUGAAUACAUUAGCAUGGAAUAAUGAAAUAGGACGUUCGAUCCUAUUUUGUUGGUUUCUAGGAUUGACGUAAUGAUUAAUAGGGAUAGUUGGGGGCAUUAGUAUUCAAUUGUCAGAGGUGAAAUUCUUGGAUUUAUUGAAGACUAACUACUGCGAAAGCAUUUGCCAAGGAUGUUUUCAUUAAUCAAGAACGAAAGUUAGGGGAUCGAAGACGAUCAGAUACCGUCGUAGUCUUAACCAUAAACUAUGCCGACUAGGGAUCGGAUGAUGUUAAUUUUUUAAUGACUCA
rnacentral:rRNA from 1 species